CUACUAGUAAAAGCGCCGGGGCUUAUAGGUGACAUUCACUUGAUUUCUUGACUUCUUGAGUUGUUUGUCAAUUAUAAGCUGACGAGGACAGGGUUGAUCGAAUUUUCGGCGGAUGCCCUGCGGCUGACCACCGUUAGCUAACCCACAAAACCAUGGAGCAAUCCUUGGGACAAAAGGGAAGCAGGUUGAAAA
rnacentral:ncRNA from 1 species